UACGAAGGGGGCUAGCGUUGUUCGGAAUCAUUGGGCGUAAAGAGCGUGUAGGCGGCCCGGUAAGUCCGCUGUGAAAGUCGGGGGCUCAACCCUCGAAUGCCGGUGGAUACUGUCGGGCUAGAGUGCGGAAGAGGCGAGUGGAAUUCCUGGUGUAGCGGUGAAAUGCGCAGAUAUCAGGAGGAACACCUAUUGCGAAGGCAGCUCGCUGGGACGUCACUGACGCUGAGACGCGAAAGCGUGGGGAGCAAACAGG
rnacentral:rRNA from 1 species